GUGCCAGCCGCCGCGGUAACACCGGCAGCUCUAGUGGUAGCAAUUUUUAUUGGGCCUAAAGCGUCCGUAGCCGGUUUAAUAAGUCUCUGGUGAAAUCCUGUAGCUUAACUAUGGGAAUUGCUGGAGAUACUAUUGGACUUGAGACCGGGAGAGGUUAGAGGUACUCCCAGGGUAGAGGUGAAAUUCUGUAAUCCUGGGAGGACCGCCUGUUGCGAAGGCGUCUGACUGGAACGGUUCUGACGGUGAGGGACGAAAGUUAGGGGCGCGAACCGGAUUAGAUACCCGGGUAGUCC
rnacentral:rRNA from 1 species